UGGCAACAUAGUAGUUCCAAUGAGUACCAAAAUCAUCCAACACCUGUAUAUAGUGGGCACCUACAUUGUAUUAAAAUAUAAUGAUUCUGAGUUAAAGCAUAUCCAAACAGUUCACCAAAUCCAAAAACUGGAAAUUUUCACAUUUGUUCUGUUUCCAUGGAAACGGUAGCCAUCUUGAACCAUUCCAUGUUUCCUGCAACUCUGCACAUGGGAGUCCUUAAUAUAGUAAAGUUCCAUCAACUUUGGUCCUUUGGAUUUCGAGAAAUCGCCUGGACAAAAAUGUGUGGAAGAAAAAUAAUAAUAAGAAAAAAAGAAACGUAGAAUAACAAUACGUCACCCCAACUCCGUUGAGGGUGCCAUAAUAAACACCGAGGAA
rnacentral:lncRNA from 1 species